UACGGGGGGGGCAAGCGUUGUUCGGAAUUACUGGGCGUAAAGGGCGCGUAGGUGGCCAACUAAGUCAGACGUGAAAUCCCUCGGCUUAACCGGGGAACUGCGUCUGAUACUGGAUGGCUUGAGUUUGGGAGAGGGAUGCGGAAUUCCAGGUGUAGCGGUGAAAUGCGUAGAUAUCUGGAGGAACACCGGUGGCGAAGGCGGCAUCCUGGACCAACACUGACACUGAGGAGCGAAAGCCUGGGGAGCAAACGGG
rnacentral:rRNA from 1 species